rnacentral:lncRNA from 1 species
UGAACCGGAGAUGAAAUUGGCCUGUGAAGGAUCAUCAUCAGCUAUAGCUAGUGUCCCACCAUUUCCCCUUUUCCUCAAACGUGAACAUUUGAUCAAACUUCGAAUCAUAAGUAUAAAAGCAAAUCUCCUUUGACUGAGCUGGGGUGGUUCUUUUCUGUUUUUAAUUCUUACUUCUUAGUGAUUGAGUGAUGAUUAUAGUGAUGAAUGACGAUGACGAUUCAUUACCCUUCUCAUUUUCUUCAACUUGGACAGGAGAGUAUUUACCAUCUCUUCUUAUGAAACAAACUGCUCGAAUUCAUUUCACUCUUUAUCGUGUGUGUUAUUACUUGCCACGAACAGAGAAAAAGCUUUGGGGAGACGAGAAAGGAACCACUCAUACAUACUCUUUCACCUUCUAAACCAGGAAACUUCAACUUUCAGAUAAUAGACAUAAAAAAAGCCUCUUCAUGGAUGUUCAUGGUCAUGAGUCAUGACCAUUUGAUUAAAAGGGCAUGGUUCCCUUCAGAAACUGGUUCAGCCACACCUCAAUGUUGCUUUGUAAUCAAAUGCAACUGAGGAACUAACUGUCAAUAGGAGGUAGGAUUUUCAAAACGGCAAAACGCCAACUUCAGCAACAUUUGCGCGCACUGCCGUAUAUGUGUACUCCAUGUUUUGAUCUAAAGAAAUACAAUAGAAGAUUCAGGAAAUUUGUGAAUUAAUCUAAAUAUUGGUCGCAAGAUAUGAUAGCAAACUGAAAUAUCUGACAGUAUUCAACACGAUGUGUAUAGGGAAUUUGUUAUUAAAAGCUUAAUAUGACAAGAAUGCUCCUCUUACCAACAAUAGAAAUUUAUGGAAUACCACCCAAGUUUGUAUUCGGAAACAAAAGUUCUAGUCAUUUUUAAUUGAUACAGAAAACAAGCUCUGGACGUGGCCUUGUAGUUUACAAAAAUAAUUCCCAUGUUUAAUGUUCAAAACACAAAAAUGGCUGUUUUGUAUGAAAUCAAAGUAUGAGAAAUAACACAAAUAAUAUCAAAAAACUGUGAUGGUUUGUAUUGAUAACAUUGUUAAAGGGAGAGACACUUUUUUCUAACUCCCUACUCCUCAGUUACAAAAAGUAUUUACAUGAUUGACAACUCGUGUCUACACCAAAAAAAUAAAAAAUUUGUUAAGCUCAAUCAUGGACCACUCCAUGGAAAAUUUUGCUUUAAUACUUUUUCAGCAUCUGGCUUACAAGGUAAUCAGCUGAGUGAUUAGAUCUAUGAAAGUGUCUUCAUCACAGGGAAUUGUGAGACCUCCCAUUGGAUGACUAAACCCAAAUUCUUCCUCUGCUUGUUGUAGUAAGUCUUGGAACGAUGGAUGGUUCAAGUAUGAUAAUGGAACCACAAACCGUCUCUUUUGGCUCUCUCCAACAUAAACUGCGAUGUGUCCUCUUGGAACAAUAGAGGUUUCUUCUUUAUUCGAAAGAGACCGUCGAAGACUUCUCUUAAUAUGUGGAAUGCCUGGCAACCGAAUAGCCAUGGAUGCAAGAAGGAAAAAAAUGUUUAAUGGUUUCGUGUGAAUACUUGGAUUUGGAAUGUUGGAUGAUACUUUUAGCUAAUACAUGUGUAUAUUUAUAGGGAGGAAAUGGUGAUCAAGAAAGUUUCAUAACGCAAGUUAAGAGACAUGCCCUUGUGAAGGAUCACAUGAUUUUGUCUGCUAUCUUUAAUUUCUGUACAGGGUGGUUACACUGAUCCAUUGCUAUAUUGCAAUGAUAAACAAACAACAUGUCCUACCAAGUAGAAGGCAGUACAGAUGAGUAGGCACUCACUCAAUUUAUAUUGUAUGUACCAUCAAGAAAACAUGAAGAUUAGGUUUGCCUAAACAGAUGUCGAUGUAGGACAGAUAAUUAGGUUAGCCUAAACACCUACUUGCCGUUCACCACAUAAGUUCAGGUGGGCCUAUUUAAAGCUGUUAAUAAAAAUGAUAGGCCAUAGGGGGGGCAGAAAUAAGUGGUACAAGUUGACCACUUAAACAAAUCAUGCUAAUCAGUUGCAAGGCAGAACCAUGUGAAACUUCAUGAGGCAUGUCCCUUACCAAGGCAAUACAUCUCUCUCUAUCUUUAUAUAUAUAUAUAGAUUAUGCAUAAGAAGGAUAUCAUCCAAAUUCAUUGCUUCACAAUCCAAAGUUUGUAAUACUUUCCAGAGUAAAACCUCUCUUAAACUUUUUAUUAUUGAAACCAUGGGUAUUCGUUUGCCAGGAGGAAUGCUCCGGGCCAAACAAUUUCUUCAACGAGCUACCCUUACAUCAAUGGCCACAGAAGUUCCUAAAGGCCACUUAGCAGUUUAUGUAGGAGAACACACAUCAAAGAAGCGAUAUGUUGUUCCAAUGUCAUUCCUAAACCAACCUACAUUCCAAGACUUACUAAGUAAAGCAGAAGAAGAGUACGGAUUCGUACAUCCAAUGGGUGGACUUACAAUUCCAUGCAACGAAGAUAUGUUCAUCAAUCUCACCUCAAGUCUGUACUGAUCAUGGCAGAUGAGGAGGACUAAUACAGAGAGAGUAGAAAAUUUUGCUAGAAACAAAAUCAGUUUAACAAAAGCGAUUGACUGACAAGAUUAGCAAGUCAUCAAAUUUUGUAUACAGUAGGGGUUAGAAAAGUAUCAAAACAACGUCUAUAUACUUUUUUGUUAAUGCUCUAUUUUUAUCGCAUUCAACCUAAUGACUUGUAUGCAUUUGCUUACAAAAUCAUGUACAGUAUGGUGUUCCUGAGCAUGCCAUAUUUAUUUAGUAAAUAAAUAACCGCUAUAAUAAGAAAUUCAAAAUUUUCAUAGCAAUUUACCAUAAACAGCCGAAAUUUCACAGCAAGAUAGUAUGACUACAAUGAAUUAUUAGAAACUCCUUAUAGUGUAACCAUGGAAAUCAAAGAAGAAAUUUCAAUAAAAAAUAACAAAUUACCUCAUCAGUUCUAAGGAUAGAUAAAGUAGUAGCACCUUCUAGCCGAAACCCUAGUGUAUGAGCCACCCCCACCAGGGACGAAAUUGGUCCAUGAACGAUCACAUCACCAUCAGCACCACCACUCGUUGCUCAGCAAACGUUUGAUGAAAUUCCGAAUCAUGAGCAAAAACAUCUCCUUUUAGAAGACUGCUGUAGGAGAACAUAGCAGCACUCUGUCUAUUUUCCCGGUAAGACCGACUGGUGUAACUUGUAAGGAAGCCAGUUAUUAGGGCUGCAUUG